rnacentral:snRNA from 1 species
GGAGGUAAGGGUGAUCUGGAUGCGACAUCUGUCACCCCAUUGGCGGCCAGGGUUGAUUCAGCUGAUCUGGCUGGCUGGGCGGUGCCCCUUCCUCACUCAGCGCUCCAUGUGCGUCCUUCCUGAAGCCACGUGCUUGGUCGAAGAGGAGGACCACCCCCGACAGAGGAGGACCGUUCCUCGGUCAAGGGUAUACGAGUGGCUGCGCUCCCCUGCUAGAACCUCCAAACAAGCUUUCAAGAUUUGAUGAUUAUCAUAGGGUAAAAGAGUGCUUAAUCUUAAAUUCAUUUCUUAGACAUUUUUGCUUUG